rnacentral:rRNA from 1 species
ACUCAAAUGAAUAGACGGGGGCCCGCACAAGCGGUGGAGCAUGUGGUUUAAUUCGACGCAACGCGCAGAACCUUACCAGCCCUUGACAUCCCGGUCGCGGUUUCCAGAGAUGGAGACCUUCAGUUCGGCUGGACCGGAGACAGGUGCUGCAUGGCUGUCGUCAGCUCGUGUCGUGAGAUGUUGGGUUAAGUCCCGCAACGAGCGCAACCCCCGUCUUUAGUUGCCAUCAUUCAGUUGGGCACUCUAAAGAGACUGCCGGUGAUAAGCCGCGAGGAAGGUGGGGAUGACGUCAAGUCCUCAUGGCCCUUACGGGCUGGGCUACACACGUGCUACAAUGGCGGUGACAAUGGGACGCGAAGGGGCAACCCCUAGCAAAUCUCAAAAAGCCGUCUCAGUUCGGAUUGGGCUCUGCAACUCGAGCCCAUGAAGUUGGAAUCGCUAGUAAUCGUGGAUCAGCACGCCACGGUGAAUACGUUCCCGGGCCUUGUACACACCGCCCGU